UACGUAGGGUCCGAGCGUUGUCCGGAAUUAUUGGGCGUAAAGAGCUCGUAGGCGGUUUGUCGCGUCUGCCGUGAAAGUCCGGGGCUCAACUCCGGAUCUGCGGUGGGUACGGGCAGACUAGAGUGAUGUAGGGGGAGACUGGAAUCCUGGUGUAGCGGUGAAAUGCGCAGAUAUCAGGAGGAACACCGAUGGCGAAGGCAGGUCUCUGGGCAUUAACUGACGCUGAGGAGCGAAAGCAUGGGGAGCGAACAGG
rnacentral:rRNA from 1 species